rnacentral:rRNA from 1 species
GAAAGCGAUGCUAAUACCGGAUAACAUCAUAUUAACCUUGGUUUUUAUGAUCAAAGAUGACCUCUACAUGUAAGUUGUUGUUUGAGGAGGAGCCCGCGUACCAUUAGCUAGUUGGUGGGGUAAAGGCCUACCAAGGCUACGAUGGUUAGCUGGUCUGAGAGGAUGAUCAGCCACACUGGAACUGACACACGGUCCAGACUCCUACGGGAGGCAGCAGUGAGGAAUUUUGCGCAAUGGGGGAAACCCUGACGCAGCAACGCCGCGUGAGUGAUGAAGGCUUUAGGGUCGUAAAGCUCUGUCAAGUGGGAAGAACCUAUCCGGGAGUAAUAUGUCCGGGUAUUGACGGUACCACUGAAGGAAGCACCGGCUAACUCCGUGCCAGCAGCCGCGGUAAUACGGGGGGUGCAAGCGUUAUUCGGAAUCAUUGGGCGUAAAGGGCACGCAGGCGGCCUGGUAAGUCAGAUGUGAAAAGCCCGGGGCUUAACCCCGGAAGUGCAUUUGAAACUAUCAGGCUUGAGUAUGGGA